rnacentral:tRNA from 12 species
AACGUUUUUUUAAUCAAAUAAGGUAAACGCCUAAUACUUGGACGAAAUGGAAAUUUAGACCUAUACUUGAACACUCGAAUAUUUGCUAUUGUGAUAAAAUAAAAAACGUAACCUCAAAAACUAAAAUGGAUCAGCAUUGUAAACACAAUUACUAAUAAUAUACUAAUGAUUUUGAUAACAUUUUAACAAAAAUCAAUUCUCAAGGAUGAUUUGAAAGACUGCUCUCGAGUCCCAUAAUAGCAAUUUUUUUCAGUAUUGUCUAACUUUACCGAAAACGCGAUUACCAUAAAGCAGUAGUUGGACACGUUUGAUUACAAUGUCCAACUACUGGGGCUAACACCGCGUCCAAGUACUGGCUCAAUCGUAUCAAAUCAUGUCCAACUAUACCGUGUCUUUAUGCCAAUCUUCAAAAUUUAUUUUUAUCAUAAAAACUGAUUGUUUGAGGUUCGUUUUUUUUUAAUUGAAAGUCAAUUGUGUCGGCUAAAGGUUGGUGUUAAAGGAUUUUGAUGCUUUGCAAUUUAUCCGUGCAAAAUAAAUGAGCUUCUAAAAUUUCCUCAAAAUCUGUCCGUGUAUUGGACAUUUUACCGUACAUCUUUCUUUCUGUGGGAUAUGUAUGUGGAGAAAAAAUUUAAUAUACAAGAACUAAAAUACGUCUUAAUUGUUCACUAUUGAUUUGUCAACCAUAAUCAUAUAUUUUGUUACAAUCACAGCGUGAUACAUCCAUCGUUGCGAAAGUUGCGCCGUUUCGAAUUUUACAACGACGCGCACAAAAGCGCCUAUUGUUGUGUAUGCAUUGGCCUUUUAUAACAAAUCAUAGGCGCUGGCUAUUUGUUGUUGCUUAGCAAAUGCAUUAAGCGUACACGGGAUAUCAGUGUAUCUGUUAAACUUAAGGGUGAGAGCAAAAAAGUAAUACUUGAUAUCUGAAGAUACUGCUGAGGAUAAAACGCGCUUGCGCAUGUAUUUUGGAUUUUCCUUUUUAAAGAGGUUAAACGAUAGGGCGCGUGUAAUCAAAUACAUCUGUUUCUUUCUGCACGGGGGAAUGUGUAUGUGGAGAAAAAAUUUUAUCUACAAGAACUCAAAUACUUCUUCACUUUUCACUGUUGAUUUUUCUAUCAUAAUCAUGUAUUUUCUACAAUCACAGCGGAAUAGAUCGUUGCGAAAGUGUCGAAAAUUUUUACCGUUGUGUAUGCGUCAGCUUUUUAUAACGAACCACAGGCGUUGGCUAUUUGUUGUUGCUGAGCAAACGCGCUAAACGUAUAUGGGAUUACAUAUCUGAGUUGUCAAACUUGAUGGUGAGAGAAAAAAAAGAUUAUUACUCUAUAUUGCUUGCGAGCUACUGCUGUAUUUAGCGUAGCGUAAAGGCUUAUAUCGUCGCUCCCUACGAAGAGUAUCACUGCUUAAAUUUCCCGUCAUAAGUAGCACAACUCAUUUGACGCACGCUAGACUAGCACAACUCGCGCAAUUGCCGCAAAAACUAGCACAAUUCAAACGUUAAACAAAGAAUUUCUAUAAAAAUUUUCCGAUUUUUGCAAAAAUGUCCCUGAUGAACAUUUUUAAAUGUUCACAAUUUACAACUUUUUACUGAAUUUAAAAUUGUUUUCACAAAUACAAUAAUUUUUUACAAGCAUUUUUUUUUAAUUGUUCACUUUUUUUAGAUAUUUUCGAAACUUUUUAAAACUUCGAGGUUUGUCUGUCUUUGGCCAAGGUUUUCAUGAACUUAAAGGCACUCCACCUUCGAAAUUAAAAUCAAAAUUUUUCAUUAAAAAUGUAUAAAUACUUAUAUAAAUAAACCAAAUUUUGUUUACUAUUCUUAGACAUAAUUACCUUUAUUUCGAUGGUUUUAGACCUUCUAUAUACCUCUAUAAUACCUACGUAUAGUAGGGAGUCCAUAAUUCACUGACCGUAAGAUUCCAAAGGAACGAAUGGCCCAAAUAAGCUCAAACUCCAGGAUAUUGUUUAAAAAUACAUUAGUUAUGGUAUAAAUGAGGGAAUUUGGUUUAAAUUUCAUAGAAAAAUAGUUACAUGAUAAUUAUGUUAAAAUUAAUCAAAAAUUGAUAAAAAAAUCAGUAAUAUGCUUAUAAAACUUUUUCUACUGUGCUACUCUUCGCGGCAAAUCGUGAGUUGUGCUAGUUUUCGUUUGAAAAUUUGAACUAUGCUAGUCUUCGUACGGAGCGACGAUAUAAUGUCGAGAUUUAGUUGAGAUAUGAUUGUGUCAUGUUUAUUGUGAGAGUAUAGGUAUGUUAAAAAACAAGGUGUUAAUUCUUGAACUUCAAUUUUAGGUAUGAUAAAUGUACAAUCAUAGUUCGUCUGUCUACCGAUAAAUGAUAAAGGAGACAGAAUUUUACAUUUGUACAUUUAUACAAAAUCAUAGCUCGUGAGUCUACCGAUAAGUGGUGAAGUAGACGGAAUAGUUACCCGCGAUUAAAACUGAACUUUAAAUACUUAUAAGGGACUGAAUAACUGUUUAUUUCUUGAUACGACGUAGAUUGAUAUGCAGUCAAACUUCAUUUGUAUUCAUCGUUAUUUUUAUUUGACAAUACCGUUUGUACGAUGACAAACGUGGCAAUAGAACUGUUGCUAAAAUAAUACUUUACAAAAUAAAACUAUAAGGGGUAUUAUAUUGUUUGUUAAUGCACAUAACAGUUCUGUAUCAUUGAAUAUCAACUUAUUUGCUUUUGCUACAUACUUAGUCAGUAGCUGCAUUGUAAACAACAGAUUUUUCUUUAUUCCUUGGCCGAAAGUACGCAGUUCCCGGCUCGAUUUUGCUUCGGAAAAAGCGUCUUUUGUGGCUUGCUAGGCAAAACGCGUGCUCUGGUUAUCUGCGAGAUUUCUGUGACCCGCGGCAUAGAGGCGCUCGCUGUUCUAUAACCUAACCUGUUCUUAUAACCUCAAAACUGAAUCGCAGAGGUUUUCGCUUAUCAGGCUGGGCAUGUAAAACACACAUCACAUGUAAAAAAUGAGAAGAAGAAAAUAAAAGUAGUUGAUGGUAAUUCUGAUAUUAUUUUAAUAAUAUUAAGCAUGAACGCGUUUUCGCCGGUUCUCCAGUUCUCCGGUUCUCCGGUCCUCAGAGGUAACACAUUUUCUUUAUCUAGAAUGACCUCUUUUGCAACUCUUAUCUUAUUUGAACCAGUUGUACAAUUACAUUACUUGUACAAAGACAUCAUUUCAUGGGUAACAAUUUCAGACCGGUAUCUCCGAUUUUCGAAGCAAACAGCGCCCUUCUACUGAAACCCGUCAAGCCGAGAUAUGCACAGCAAGUUUGUAGCACAAAAGAUUCAAACGAGAUAAUAUACUACGUAAUAUCUAUUUUUAUAUUGAAUUUAUAGUGAUAUUCAAACCGCGUUUUCUAUUUAGGCACGACCGCGACACGGAAAGGCCUUAUAGUUUUGUCAUCGAAAAAUGUGUGAGAUGCGAUAUCUCACGCAAUUUUCGACCGAUCGGGCUGAAAUUUUAGGAGGAGUGUCCUCUUGCACAAACCUAAAAAUUAAUUUUUUUUAAUCCUGAUCGUCUACCCUUUUUAAAAUGCGGGCACAAUUUGUUAAAUUUUUGCGUGUUUUUUUAAUACAAAUUUUGGUGUUACACGAUUAUCUCUAAGAGACUUUUAUCAAUCGGGCUAAAAAUUUGUGUGCGAACUCCCCUCGUAAUAGUAAGGUGUCAAAUUUAUUUUGGGCUCGAUUCUGCAUGUAUACGCAGAAUGCGGUCACAUCCAAAAAUCGCUAAAAACGGUUUUUUGGCUCUAACUUGAAUUCUAUGCAUUUUACAAAAAAAAAGUUAUAAAGAAGUUGUAGAUCUCAAAGAAAUACAACUUUUUCCUAUUUACACUUGAGCGUAAAAAAGCUUUUAAUUUGAGUUAACAGGCCAAAAUCGAUUAUUUUAUAUCAAUAAACCAGUAUUUAUCAUAAAACUUUGAGGCUAUACAUUAUACAUAAAAACCUUAAAUGUAAAAGUUGUAAAUAUUUUAAAAUCACAACUUUCUACCGUGACAAACAUUUUUUCAAAUCGCUUAUACAUAAACAAUUAACCCUAGAAACGAUUUUUAGUACAUAUAAUUGAAUAACAAUUUCGGUGUGACACGCCCUAUCUGGCCCAGAAGCUUUAAUCGAUUGCCUCCUCGCAAAGCGCGAGCGUGUGGCGCGCUAGUUUUAUAUUGAUUUUAUGUUGAUAUUCAAACCGCGUUUUCGCGUUUUCAUAGUACUAUGUGCUGAUAAUGUCUGCACUUUACGUACCUUUCGACUUACCCAGACUGAGCAAUAGAGACUUCAAAAUUACCCAAUCCAUCGAACUUUCCGCUUCAAAGUGCGAAGAGAGACUGAGCAAUACAUCCGUUCUUCUGGCAUUUUAUACACAAUCUCGUGCAUGCGUAGACUAUUUUUUGUUUUAAAAUUACCUGAUCUGAAACGCUCCGACUUUGUAGUAGAUUGUGCCAAUUUAGUUUCUAUUUCGUUUAACUUUGAUUCAAUUUUAACGUUAUCGUCGUUUUAUACCAAGCAUUUAUGACUGCUUCCUUCUACAGUUGUGGAUAAACUAGGGAUGUAAGAUUCUUGUCGAUAUCUAGCUAUAUCGAUAUUUUCUUUUCGAUAUAUCGAUAAUUUAUAUCGAUAAUAUCGAAAUGUCGAUAUAAUUUUGAAGAUAUCGGCUUCCGAUAUUUGCCUUUUGAAUUUCGCGGGUCAGGUGGGGCAACUUUAUAACUAUUUCUUUUUUAAACGCAGGUUGCGACACUGCGACAUGCGCACGCGUUUCCGCUUGAUUAACGUGCAGAAGACGCGAGACGCGAGUCGCGACUCGCGAGUGGCAGUGGUGGAUGUACACGGGCACGGGCACAUCGGGAGAUCUGGACAUUGAAGACAUCGAGCACGAGAACGCCAUCGACCGCCUCGACGUCGCGAGUCGUGGACAUCGCAUCGGAGACAUCGAGCACGAGCUACGAGCCACGAGCCACGAGGACGCCAUCGACCGCCUCGACGUCGCGAGUCGUGAUCAUCGCGGAGACAUCGAGCACGAGGACGCCAUCGACCGCCUCGACGUCGCGAGUCAUGGACAUCGCAUCGGAGACAUCGAGCACGAGCCACGAGCCACGAGGAAGCCAUCGACCGCCUCGACGUCGCGAAUCGCUACGCACUUGUAAAGUUGUAAGUCGUAGUCUCGCACGAUCGCACCACAACUACAGGCCUGUGGCAGGAAAAAUAAACCUAACCUAAUUAACUGAAUACGUAAAGGGAAAACAACAAAGCGAGAGAGAGAGAGAGAGAGAGAGAGAGAGAGAGAGAGAGAGAGAGAGAGAGAGAGAGCACGGUGCGCGUCAGGAAAUUUCAACCAAGAGUUUCAAUCUCAGUCCGAACACAUGUUGGAAGGUAACAAUAUUUUUUAAGAUUUACCUUUGCGACACGGUGUGUGUAUGUGUGUUUGUAUGCGUUUGUGUAUGUGUAUGUGUACCUGUAAAUUGUAAGGAUAUAAAGAAGUUCAAGUCUUCAAUUUCUAAACAAAUUUUGUAUGACUGACUUUUUUAAUGUAAAAUUUCUUACAGAUAAUAUACUAGCUGAUUUAGAUAACUGUUUAGAUCAAUAAAGAUCUUUGUUAAGCAGGUUAAAAUGUAGAUUAAACGAAGAAAGCAGUUUCGCUAUAGAAGAUUUAUAUGAUUUUAAAUCUAUAUUACUGUCAAGUAGAAAAACCGUAGAAGAAAUUUUAGGUUUUUGGGAAACCGUAGAAAUAGAAGUAGAUAAAUUAUAUAUUUACAAAAUUCGAACUAAAUUAUUAGAGAAUUUAUCUAUCAUCAAAAGUAUCUUGGAAAGUAUAUUCGAUUGGUUUUUAAAAUUAGAGUUAUCCGAUGAUAGCAUAGCAGACACAGUCUUAAUAGACAGUAGUUUCGACAGUGACAGGGAAUACGAAAAUUAGCAAUAUUUUGAUGAAGAUAACAUAUUGGUUAUGGGUUGAGUCUUCUUUUCUUUCAUUGAAUGAGUCACUGAAUGGUAGAAUUAACAAAUUACUGCAAGAGUGAGAAGCGAGAUCCCUAUCUCCUUACCUUUAGAAUAUGGCUCCAAAAAAAAAAGCGACGUCUGGAAAUAUAUGAGCAAAGCAUUGGAUGGAUCAAUCACCUGCAAUCUUUGUAAUGCUGCUAUAAAAAAUUCUGGCAACACAUCGAAUUAUCGUGCUCAUUUACAAACUCGUCAUCCUGAUGUAAAGUUAGGGACUAUGAAAGAUUCCAGUGCAGCUAAUCUCAACAAAUCAGCAUCAGCGCAAAAGCUUGUCGCCGGUGACGGAGAGCAACGAGAAUUUUAUGAAAACUGAAUUGAAUCAAGAAACAAAAGAAAAAUGUGAAUCUCAAAAAAGCACUGAAAAUGGACCUCUGAAACCUAAACAAUUAAAAGUUGAUAAUGUAUUUAGGAACUAAACAUCAUUCAAACAUGGAGUUAAGGCGAACGAAAUGCUGAAUAGAAUUCUAUUCAUGAUAGCUAAAGAUCAGAUGCCCUACAACUGCGUCGAGAAGAUAGGAUUACGCACAUUAUUAAAUUAUGCGGCACCGCUAUAUAAAAUACCAUGUCGUGUAAUAAUAACACAAAAAAUGGAAGCAAAAUAUGAAUGUCUCUCGAACAUUGUAAAAAAUGAUUUGUCAAAAGUCAAAUAUAUUGCUUUGACGACGGACGUUUGGUCAGACAUGUUAAAUAUCAUCAGUUAUUUAGGGGUGACCUGCCAUUUUAUCAAAGACUAUAAACUACAGUCUAUAAAUAUAGGUGUAACGGAACUAAACGAUAAUCACACGUCAGACAAUUUAAAGAAGUGGUUACUGCAAAUUAUUAAAGAAUGGAACAUUGAUUUAUAGUCGGUUGUGGCUGUCGUAACCGACAAUGCAGCAAACAUUAAAAAGGCUGUGAAAGAUGCCUUCGGAGAAGAUCGAUGUCUCAAUUGUUUAGCUCAUACACUCAAUCUUGUUCCGUCGUCGAUACUUACCUCUGAUGAUAUUAAACCUAUAUUAGCCAAAGUGAAAGAAAUUAUUAGAUUUUUCAAACAGUCAAACAACGCAUCGGAUAAGUUACGCGAAGUUACCAAAGACCGCUUAAUCCAAAGUGUAGAGACCAGAUGGAACUCUGACUACGAGAUGCUCGAAAGGUUUAUUUCCUUAUUGGAUAAAGUAGCGCAUAUCUUAUUACAAUUACCAAAAUGUCCUUCCAUGGUUACUGCAGAUGAGAUUGAAAUUCUAAAAGAGUUAACAAUUUUAUUGAAACCUUUCUACUCUGCAACAAAGAUCGUUUCUGGAGAGAAUUAUGUAACUGGCAGCGAGGCAAUACCAGUCAUAAAAAUAUUGGUGAAAGAAAUGGAAAGUAGCAGUAUAAAUACUGCGACAGCGAUUGCUUUUAAAUCUAAACUAAAAGAACAGUUUAAAAAAAGAUUUGAACAUAUAGAAAAAAAUAAGAUGUGUGCGAUAUCUACUUUAUUAGAUCCUCGUUUUAAGAAGUUAUACUUCACAAAUAAAAUUGCGUGCGCUGAUGCAAUAAAUAAAAUAUCUAAAUUUCUACAUAAAGAUUUAAUUGAUGUAAAUUCAUCAAGUAAUGAAUGCGAAAGUAACCAAAGUCAAGAAUCUACUGAUGACUGUGAUGAUUUCUGGAGUUACCACGAAAAAUUAGUUAACGUCAAUCGAGCUCAGAUGGAACAGAAUCAAAAUAAAGAAGAGAUGCCGGAAGAACGAACUACCUAUUUCCAAAAAUCAAGAUCCAUUAGAAUUCUGGAAAUUUCAUUCAAGCUCGCGUUUAGCUGAUUUAGCUAUUCGCUACUUAACAAUUAUUGCAACCUCGGUUCCGUCCGAGCGUUUGUUUUCAACGGCUGGCCUAAUAAUAUCUCGGAACAGAAGCCGAUUGACUUCGAAACAUUUCCAAGAAUUACUGUUUUUAAACUUAUUGCCAAUAAGUUAUUGGAAUUUAUAAAUUGUAAAACUUUUUGUUUAUGAUACAUUUUUUGUGCAAUGUUUAUUUUUGUAUUACUUAGGCUAAACUCUAAUAAAGUUUUUCAAUACAUUAAAA